CUGGCGGCGUGCUUAACACAUGCAAGUCGAACGAUGAAGCCCAGCUUGCUGGGUGGAUUAGUGGCGAACGGGUGAGUAACACGUGAGUAACCUGCCCCCGACUCUGGGAUAAGCCCGGGAAACUGGGUCUAAUACCGGAUAUUACCUCUUGCCGCAUGGCAGGUGGUGGAAAGAUUUAUCGGUUGGGGAUGGACUCGCGGCCUAUCAGCUUGUUGGUGAGGUAAUGGCUCACCAAGGCGACGACGGGUAGCCGGCCUGAGAGGGUGACCGGCCACACUGGGACUGAGACACGGCCCAGACUCCUACGGGAGGCAGCAGUGGGGAAUAUUGCACAAUGGGCGAAAGCCUGAUGCAGCGACGCCGCGUGAGGGAUGACGGCCUUCGGGUUGUAAACCUCUUUCAGUAGGGAAGAAGCGAAAGUGACGGUACCUGCAGAAGAAGCGCCGGCUAACUACGUGCCAGCAGCCGCGGUAAUACGUAGGGCGCAAGCGUUAUCCGGAUUUAUUGGGCGUAAAGAGCUCGUAGGCGGUUUGUCGCGUCUGCCGUGAAAGUCCGAGGCUCAACCUCGGAUCUGCGGUGGGUACGGGCAGACUAGAGUGAUGUAGGGGAGACUGGAAUUCCUGGUGUAGCGGUGAAAUGCGCAGAUAUCAGGAGGAACACCGAUGGCGAAGGCAGGUCUCUGGGCAUUUACUGACGCUGAGGAGCGAAAGCAUGGGGAGCGAACAGGAUUAGAUACCCUGGUAGUCCAUGCCGUAAACGUUGGGCACUAGGUGUGGGGAACAUUCCACGUUUUCCGCGCCGUAGCUAACGCAUUAAGUGCCCCGCCUGGGGAGUACGGCCGCAAGGCUAAAACUCAAAGGAAUUGACGGGGGCCCGCACAAGCGGCGGAGCAUGCGGAUUAAUUCGAUGCAACGCGAAGAACCUUACCAAGGCUUGACAUGUGCCAGACCUCUUCAGAGAUGGAGUUUCCCUUCGGGGCUGGUUCACAGGUGGUGCAUGGUUGUCGUCAGCUCGUGUCGUGAGAUGUUGGGUUAAGUCCCGCAACGAGCGCAACCCUCGUUCCAUGUUGCCAGCACGUAAUGGUGGGGACUCAUGGGAGACUGCCGGGGUCAACUCGGAGGAAGGUGGGGAUGACGUCAAAUCAUCAUGCCCCUUAUGUCUUGGGCUUCACGCAUGCUACAAUGGCCGGUACAAUGGGUUGCGAUACUGUGAGGUGGAGCUAAUCCCUAAAAGCCGGUCUCAGUUCGGAUUGGGGUCUGCAACUCGACCCCAUGAAGUCGGAGUCGCUAGUAAUCGCAGAUCAGCAACGCUGCGGUGAAUACGUUCCCGGGCCUUGUACACACCGCCCGUCAAGUCACGAAAGUUGGUAACACCCGAAGCCGAUGGCCUAACCACCUUGUGUGGGGGGAGUCGUCGAAGGUGGG
rnacentral:rRNA from 1 species